UACGUAGGGUGCGAGCGUUAAUCGGAAUUACUGGGCGUAAAGCGUGCGCAGGCGGUUUUGUAAGUCUGUCGUGAAAUCCCCGGGCUCAACCUGGGAAUGGCGAUGGAGACUGCAAGGCUAGAGUUUGGCAGAGGGGGGUAGAAUUCCACGUGUAGCAGUGAAAUGCGUAGAUAUGUGGAGGAACACCGAUGGCGAAGGCAGCCCCCUGGGUCAAAACUGACGCUCAUGACACGAAAGCGUGGGGAGCAACAGG
rnacentral:rRNA from 1 species